rnacentral:rRNA from 1 species
AACGAACGCUGGCGGCAUGCCUAACACAUGCAAGUCGAACGAGACCUUCGGGCCUUGUGGCGCACGUGUACGUGACGCGGGGUGACCUGCCCGUAAGUUCGGAAUACCUCACUGUAAGGUGUGUUAAGACCGGUUAAUGUCAUCCGGCCAAAGAUUUGUCGCCGUUGGGUGGGCCCUCGUUGGAUUAGCGAGUUGGUAGGGUAAAAGCCUACCAAGGCGACGAUCCAUAGCUGGUCUGAGAGGAGGAUCAGCCAGACUGGGGAUACGACCCGGGCCAGACUCCUACGGAACGGAGCAGUGUGGAAUAUUGGACACUGGGCGAUAGCCUGAUCCAGCAAUGCCGCGUGAGUGAUGAAGGCCUUAGUGUUGUAAAGCUCUUUUACCCGGCAUGAUAAUGACAGUACCGGGAGAAUAAGCUCCGGCUAACUCCGUG